CGAUUGGGAGUAAUUUUGCGGUUCUAGAAGUUGAAUGUGUUACUGGAUUUUGAUUCGAGGGAGAUGAGUUGUAGAAACUUAGAAAAUGAGUAGUUAGAUCUAGUGUAUGAGACACAUGAUAAGAUGUAGUAUAACCGUAAAAUCCGAUGGUUGAUCUGAAGUAGUCCAUGGUGCACAAUUUUAAGAAUGGUGAAUGCUAAAUGCACCAUAAUUGUGUAUUUAAGUUGAAAUUAAAAGAAAGGGAGCAUAAAAUUGGGAUAUAUGGCAUGCUAUCACCAACACCACAUAUUGAAUUUUAGAUAUACAAGUAAAUAACAGUUGUGUAUUCCGGUUUAUAUAUAUGAUGAAUCUAUGAGAAGGGGAAAAAAUGGUACAUUGUAUUAUCAUUUUGGUGGAAUAUAUUUUAUUUUAUUUUUGUGUGUUAAUGUAACUGAAUGAGUCCAAUUUUUUUAUUUUGGUGGAAUAUAUAUAUAUUUUUUUUUUGUUGCAAGAAUCUGCCUCCAAGAUGUUUUCGUAAUUAAUCAAGAGUCAAUUAUGUUAUAUCCUUCUGCAUUUACUCCAAAAACAUGUACUAGUCUUAAAAUAGAUAAAAACGUGUUCAUGUUAUAAACUAAUGGUGAUGUCAAUGACAAGAGACAUCAUCUAAAUCAAAUUCAGCUCCUUCUUAACUUCAAAUCCAAACACUGAAACAGAGAAUCAAUAUUACACCAAUCAUGAAAUAAUUUUUUGUCUGGUUAGAAGGAAAUCAAACUAUAGUAGUACAAGGCUGAAUAUUGUUAUUUUCAUUAUUUAAGCAAUAGACUGUUAUGCAUCAUGCUGAUUUGAUUGCACUCAUGAUCAAAAUCUGAGUAUAUACUUUCAUUCUGAUCAAUCAAAAGAAUCAUUCUUCCCUGAAUUUAUUAGUUGAGUCAAGUUUUCCAUUCUAGUUAGUGCAAAACAUUUAUCAGUUAUGUUCGCUAACGUUCAUUUAAACCAUUUAAACUUUAUAGAUCCAUUCAAACCUAUUAAACUUCCAAGAACAAAUCUCAUGUUGAUGUUGAUAACCAUCCAUAAAUUUGUACUAAACCAAACAAUGUGAUACUCUCAACACAUUGUUUUCAACACAUUAUUUGGUCUUAGCACAAAUCUACAGAUGAUUACUUGAUAUUGGUAGGUGUUCUUCAUCUUCUUAUAUGUAGUAGUAGUGGUCCAUGAGCUAACAAACUAAUUAAAUAUAAGAAAAUAAAGAUGGUAAUGAAAAGGAAAAGAGGCUGACAUAAGAGAGAAAAAUUACGAAGAAGAAGAAGAAGAUGUUCUUGCUAAUGCUAUGUAGUGUUCUCUAUUUUAUAGCCACAAUUGGAGUUAUGGUUGAAGUCAUUAUGAUGCAUAGGCUCUAGGUGUGGUGCAUGUGAAGAUCUUGGCCAUAGGAUAGUAUUCACAUGGUGGGGGUUGUUUGUGAUGUGAUAUUUUCAAAGAAAAGGUUAAAAAUGGCGAUGAAGCUCGGAAAGUACUAUUGCCAUAUUUUGGAAACAAAUGAAAUGAGUCACAUCUCACAUAUGUACUUGUGCUUUGAUUGAUUCCUAUAUUAAGUUGUUUUGCUUAAUACAUAAAAUUAGCAAAUUACUAGUAUAUGGGUAAUAUAAUGUUACAUAUUAAGUACAUACAAUUCAAAGUGUGUUUGUUUUAAGAUGUGUGUAAUGUUGGAAAAAGCUAAAGUGUAAAAACAAGUUGUUUGUGGUGAUUUGUGUUCUUUUUUAAUUCUGAUAUAUUACUCAAAAGGAUUGGUUUAGUCUAGAAGAUCUGUUUGUUUAUGAUAAAUCAUACACUUUUCUCCACAUCAUUGUAGCAUGUGAUCAAUUGUCGUUCUUCAUUGUUUGUGAGAUGGUGAAGCAUGUGAAUUUUCUCCACAUCUUUGAUGUUUAUACAAUAACUAAAUAUAUGUUUUGUUUUAAAAGAUUAUAAUCAAGAAUCCAUUAAAAGAGAGAACCAAUUGUAAAUAGACAUAACGUGCAAUUUCGUGUGCCUGCCUGCCGUGCCGUAUAGCAACCCUCGUGUAUCCCUUAAAAAAAAACGUAAUGUUACAUCGGAGAAUACAAGAUUUAGAAUACAACAUUCCUAUAAUUGUUUCAAGUUUUCAAAAUUUGUAAACAUGAGUUUUUAUUCCCAAGAAAUUUUUUUACACAUGCGAAUUAAAAGAUGAGAAUCCUUUAAUCCGAAUUUAACAAUCCAAUAAAAAUAUAACUUAACUUAUUGUAACUUUCAACAACCACUUACAUUUAUUUUCUAUCUCUUAAAAUAGUGUUG
rnacentral:lncRNA from 1 species